CUCCCCGCGGGCGCCCCCGGCCGAGCCGCCCCCGGGGCAGGGCGAGGGGGCAGACGGCCACAGCCUACCUGUGGUUAAAUUGUCAUUGAUCUUCAGCGGCACCCGCAAGAUGUACACCAGGAAGAGCAUGAUGAAGAACCACAGCGUCCAGAGUAUCCAGGCUCUGCAACAGAUGCAACACCACCACCCACCACCCAAGAAAGCUGGUACACUGGCAGGAAGGCUGCUGGAGCAGCCACAAAGAAACACUUUCCAUCCACAGCAGCCCAAGAGAAUAAAAGGCCAAGAAGCAAUGGGCACAAAAUGAAACACGGGAGGUGCCGUCUGAACACAAGGAAACAUUUUUUCACUGCAAGGGUGACCAAGCACUGCCACAGGUUGCCCAAGGAGGCUGGAGAGUCUGCAUCCCUAGAGAUCUUCAAAAGUCAUCUGCACCUAGUACUGGCAGCUUGCUCUAGAUGACUCUACAAAAUGAUGUCAAGAAUCCUUCCAAUCUUAACCACUCAGUGAUGGCAAGAUAACCUGUAGUCAAAGUAUUUUCAGCAUACCUUCUGGAACAACAUACUUGAUUAGUGUUACUUGUAUUUUCUAUAAGGGACUAGAAAAAAUGCAAUUACCACUUAUACCUCUGGGUCACAUUACUACUCUGUAUCAACAGAGAGAUGGCAUUGGAAUGUGAAUUAAGUAAAGGCAGGCAGAGUCUUCAAACUUCUUGGGAAGAGGAUAGAAAGAUCUUGGUACUAUGCACUUCUAGGCAUAUCAGUGCAUCUCUACUUAUAAAACAAGGUCAAACAGCAAAUCUGCCUUACUGUAACCACUUAGAUAUUUUAGACAUCCUUCUAACUUCGAAUAAGUUUGAAACAUCAUUUAUUGAUGCCUUCCAUGUUUGAGUCAUCUCACAGCUUCCACAGACAUGAAAAUAUUCGUGUUUAAAGCGGAAAGUGAACAAGAGCAUGCAUUACAUAAAGGCAGGAGCAGUGCACCAGCACAGUGUGCACGAAACACCACACCCUAGCUAGGAAACAGGCAGCUACCGUGAAGCUGGUUCCCACAGAAGAUGACAAGGAGCAGUGAUAACUGAGAUCGGACAAAACAUU